AUUCCAGCUCCAAUAGUGUAUAUUAAAGUUGUUGCAGUUAAAAAGCUCGUAGUUGGAUUUCUGGCGGGAGCGAUCGGUCCUUCACUCAGUGUUGGAACCUGAUUGUCUCCUGCCAUCCAUGGAGAAAACUUAUCUGGCAUUAAGUUGUCGGGUAGGCAAUCUCCAUCUUUUACUGUGAAAAAAUUAGAGUGUUCAAAGCAGGCUUAUGCCGUUGAAUAUAUUAGCAUGGAAUAAUAAGAUAGGACUAUGGUACUAUUUUGUUGGUUUCUAGUACUGAAGUAAUGAUUGAUAGGGAUAGUUGGGGGUGCUAGUAUUGGCCGGCCAGAGGUGAAAUUCUUGGAUUCGGUCAAGACCAACUUAUGCGAAAGCAUUCACCAAGGAUGUCUUCAUCA
rnacentral:rRNA from 1 species